rnacentral:rRNA from 1 species
AUGGCGUGCAGCCAAAACUGUUCUUGUGUGGCCUAUGCGUACACCAACCUAAGCAGCGGAAAGUCCGGUGGAGAUGUCACAAGGUGCUUAGUGUGGGCCGAGGAGUUGGUUGACACAGGAAAAAUUCCCACUGAGUUUAGUCAAGUGUGUGGCGACACACUUUAUAUCCGUCUUAGAAGCAUCGCUUCCAAGAAUGAAGAACAAGAGGAUGCGGACAAAAUGAUGGAGAUACCUGCAGAAGAGAGAGAGGUGAUGCGAGAGAUGAGGAAGAGAGAAGAUAAGAGGAGCAGAGAGAGAGAGGGUGUUGUAAGAAGAGAGAGGUGUUCCACUCUGUGUGUCCAGGAGAAACCAGAUGAGAGGCCAAAUAUGUCAUCUGUUGUGUUCAUCCUAGAGAACGGAAGCACUGCACUUCCAACCCCCAAUCGCCCCGCCUACUUUGCGCGACAAAGUAUCGAUCUCCGCCGCCGCCGUCCAUCACUCCUCCCUCUCCCUCGGCCUCCCUUGUCUAGGGUUCCCCGCCACCACUGCGGCAGCCGCCGCCGAAUCCUAGGUCGCCGCACACCGUUGCCGCCUCCGCGAAUCCCCAGGGACGCCACAAGCCACCGCCGUCGCGAAUCACCAGAGACGCCGCACGCCGCCGCGCCGGAUCCCCAGGGAUGCCACCGCCACCGCCGCGGAUCCCCAAGGGUGUGGUCGCGUUGUACUAGACAAAGUGUGGUCGCUGCCGUCCUCUCCUCGUCCGACCUUGACCUCAUCCCUUCGACUCCGGUGACUCCUCUGUGGCCCGGGCGGCCCUGGCCGACGCCGUCACAGCCAACGCCGGCCUCACCUCUGCGGCCUCACGCACUGCCGCCGCCGAGGAGCCGGCCUGAUAGGGUCUGGUGUGAAAGAGUUGGAGCAAGGAGGACGUGUGCGGCCACUUCGCGCUUCGGCGAGAUCCUCAAGGUUGUCAUCGCAGACAAGGGCACUGGAAGAUCCAAGGGCGGCGGAUUCGAAGCGGAGGCGGCCAUUAGGGCGUGCUUGGGUCCGUACCCGGUGAUUGACGGCUGGAGUGCCAACUGCAACCUCGCCUGCCUCAAGGUCCAAGGCGCCACAACGAAAACGCCCACCUCGAUACUCAGCUUCAAGGGAUGUGUCCUGCCACGGCAAGUAUUCAAAUAUAGCAUGUCGUACAAGAAUGCAGUGUUCACAAGUACAUCCACUCACGACCUCUCCCAUGCUGCAGAUGCAGUAAAAAAGCAAAAGCAAAAUUGUUCAUCAUACUUGCAUUGCAAGCACAUCCACUCACGACCUCUCCCAUGCUGCAGCUACAGCCAAUUUGGGGACCCUUUCAUGGACAAGCAGAUGGAGCUGUAG